GAGAGUGAGUUACGUGUGUGUCAUCAACACACACCCCUUCUCCGACGUGUUAGUGACAGCUGAGGUUGAGAAGUGCGCAUGCGUGGAGCGGUCCGGAGUGUUGAGGUCUGACUAUGGCAUUGCUUCUUAGGAGAGCUUUGUACUCUUUGUUGAAUCCUCAGAAACUUGUUGGCAAGAGCAGUGUACAUUUUUCUUUCAUGUCCAUGGUCUUCAACACAUGUACUCGAUACUGCAAUCCAAAGAAUAUAAUUUACUUCAGAAGUACGUUUCUUCUGCCUGGUAAUUACCUGCUACCAGUGCAACAGACGUCUGGGCUGAAAACUAAAGGUGUCCUGAAGAAGCGCUGCAAAGACUGUUACAUUGUGAAAAGACGUGGGCAGCUUUAUGUCUACUGCAAGAGUAAUGGCAAACACAAACAGAGAUUGGCAUAGUUGAUGUCUGAGCCUAUACAAUAGAGCUGUAACUGGACUGUCUAGUUUAGUACCUUUAAUGUCCCUGGAACACAAUAAAAAAAAAUGUUAGAUUGUUAA